ACGAGCUACGCUUAAAACCCAAAGGACUUGACGGUACCCCAUAUCCCCCUAGAGGAGCCUGUCCCAGAAUCGAUGAUCCCCGUUUAACCUCACCACUUUUAGCCUAUCAGCCUGUAUACUUCCGUCGUCAGUUUACCGCGUGAGCGCUUCUUAGUAAACCUAAUGUCUUACCAUCAAUACGUCAGGUCAAAGUGCAGCAAAUAAAGUGGGAGAGAGAUGGGCUACACUUUCUACAAUAGAAAACACGAAAGAUUAAUGUGAAACCUCAAUCAGAAGGCGGAUUUAGUAGUAAAAAGAAACUAGAGUAUCCUUUUUAACUUGGCCCUGGGG
rnacentral:rRNA from 1 species